rnacentral:rRNA from 1 species
UGCAAAUCAAUAUAAAUUGAUAUUUAAUUUAUAUUUAUUAAUAUUUUUUGUUUUAAUUAUUUAUUUUUAUUAAAAAUAAUUGUAAAAUAAUAUGUUUUAGUAAAUUUUAUUGAAAAAAUAGUUUUUAUAAUAGUUUAUUUGUAUUGUAAAAGGAUAUUGAAAUAAUUUGAAAAAUUUUUAUUAAAAAAGAAAAAUUUAUUGUUUGUACCUUGUGUAGCAGGGUUUAUUAAAUAAUUAGUAGAAAAAUUUAUUAAUUUCGAUUUUAUAAGAGUUAAUAAUUUAUUAAAGUUAAUGUAUUAUAAUUAUUUUUUAUAAAUUAUUGGAAAUGAAAUGUUAUUCGUUUAUAAAGAUAUCUAGUUUUUUUAGAAAUAAAUUUAAUUUAAAAAUUUUUAAUUUUAUUGAUUGUUUUUAGAAUUUAUAAAUUUAAGAAUUUUAAUAUUUUAAGGGAUAAGCUUUAAAAUAAAUUAUUAAAAAUUAAUUAAGUAAUAAUUAAAAAUAUAUGCAUAGAAUUAGCAAUUGUUAAAAAAUUUGUUAUAAAUUAUUAUAUAAAUAUAUUAUUUAUUUAAAUUUUGAUUAUUUAUAAAAAUAUUUUUUUUAAUUUUAUUUAAAAGGUAAUAAUGAUAAAAUUAGUAUAUUAGUUUUGUUUAAUUAAUUUUAAUUUGAUAAGUUUAUAUAAAGAACUCGGCAAAUAUUUUACUCGCCUGUUUAACAAAAACAUGUCUUUUUGAGUUAUUUUUAAAGUCUAACCUGCCCAAUGAAUAUAAUUUUAAUGGCNGCAGUAAUUUGACUGUGCAAAGGUAGCAUAAUCAUUAGUCUUUUAAUUGAAGGCUUGUAUGAAUGGUUGGACGAAGUAUAAUCUGUUUCAUUUAAAUUUAUAAUAGAAUUUUAUAUUUUAGUAAAAAAGCUAAAAUUAUUUUAAAAGACGAGAAGACCCUAUAAAUCUUUAUAUUUUAUGUUAUUUAAAUUUUUUUGAUUAAUUUUAUUUUUAUGAUUUGAAUUAUUUUAUUGGGGUGAUAUUAAAAUUUAAAUAACUUUUAAUUUUUUUUUUUCAUUAAUUUAUGUUUUGUUGAUCCAUUAAUAAUGAUUAUAAGAAUAAGUUACUUUAGGGAUAACAGCGUAAUUUUUUUGGAGAGUUCUUAUUGAUAAAAAAGUUUGCGACCUCGAUGUUGGAUUAAGAAAUAAUUUCAGGUGUAGAUGCUUGAAAAAUAAGUCUGUUCGACUUU